rnacentral:rRNA from 1 species
UACGUAGGGUGCAAGCGUUGUCCGGAAUUAUUGGGCGUAAAGAGCUCGUAGGCGGUUCGUCGCGUCGGCUGUGAAAACCCGAGGCUCAACCUCGGGCCUGCAGUCGAUACGGGCGGGCUGGAGUUCGGCAGGGGAGACUGGAAUUCCUGGUGUAGCGGUGAAAUGCGCAGAUAUCAGGAGGAACACCGGUGGCGAAGGCGGGUCUCUGGGCCGAUACUGACGCUGAGGAGCGAAAGCGUGGGGAGCGAACAGG